rnacentral:rRNA from 1 species
UACGAGGGGUGCUAGCGUUGUUCGGAAUUACUGGGCGUAAAGCGCGUGUAAGCGGGCCGUUAAGUCGGGGGUGAAAGCCCAGAGCUCAACUCUGGAAAUGCCUUCGAUACUGGCGGCCUGGAGCAUGAUAGAGGCGAGUGGAAAUGCGAGUGUAGAGGUGGAAUUCGUAGAUAUUCGCAGGAACACCAGUGGCGAAGGCGACUCGCUGGAUCAUUGCUGACGCUGAGACGCGAAAGCGUGGGGAGCAAACAGG